GCGGCCCCCGCAAAAAAUGUACAGAUAUUUGGCUGAUUAUGCAUUGAAUUAUGCAAUCGCAUAAUCACGUUUUUCUGGAGGGAGUGGAAUACGUCUCCAUAACAGCAGGAGG